rnacentral:lncRNA from 1 species
CGCGGGCCGCCGGGCCGGGGUCGCCGCCCGGGCUCGGUCAGUCGGUACCUUCAUGAAGGUCUCUACCGCGCCUUUGGCCGUGUCCAGCCUCGUCCCAAAUGCCGUGGGAGGGAAGGCACUCUCUGUCAAGCUGCUGUCACCUUACCUGAAGUAAGGAGUCCACGCCUGCAUGUCCGAGGAAAACAGUUUUCUCAAACACAUUAGUUGAAAAACUGAAGACGCUGCCUAAAAUACAAGCUGAGUUAGAGACAGCCCUUGUAAGACUAGAAAAAGAAAUGGAAACUAAGUAACAUGAAUUAACAUAGUCCAGGGUCACAAAGCAACAUGGAACAAGAACCUGGAUCUGAAUUCAGAGGCAGAAUGCUGGAAUCUAAGCCAGAAUGAGGUUACUGCCUAGGCAAAGAAGAAGACAGCUCAUCACAGGCCUGAGAAUCAGGAGAGUCAAUGGUAUUAGUGCUUGUCCGGAAGCCAUCAUGCUUCAAAACCAAGAAGAGCUGAUUUUCCAGUUGGAGUCUAAAGGAAAGGCCUUGUGAGGACAUAACCAGGAAGAGAGUCCUCACCAGAACCUGACCAUACCUGCACCCUGAUCUCAAGCUUCCAGCUUCCAGAACCAUGAGAAAUCAAUGUUUGUUGUUUUAGCCACCCAGUCUACAGAAAUUUGUUAUAGCCACCCUAGCUGACUACCACAUUGGACAUCACAGC